rnacentral:rRNA from 1 species
UUGUAAUUGAGCGGUCCGGGUGCGUCAGUGCAGGUAAGUGCCAUGGAAAUGGUCGCCGCGGAGGGUGAGAGCCCCGUCCAGCCUGCACAGGGCGUUGCUGUACGAGAUCGUCUCGGGAGAGUCGGGUAGCUUGGGAAUGCUGCUCUAAGCGGUGGUAAAUUUCAUCGAAGGCUAAAUACUGCUGGAAGACCGAUAGCGAACAAGUACCGUGAGGGAAAGAUGAAAAGCACUUUGAAAAGAGGGUGAAAAGAAUCUGAAACCGCUAUGAGGGAAGCGGAUUGCGUUGAAUUGAUGGGUGCCGGUGUGUUCAGCUCGUUUCGGCGGGUGUAGUGACACUGGAUACUUAUUUGCUGUGAAUUUCUGGUCGCUGAUUGUGGGCAACCUGGAGGUUGAGGGCUCCAAGUUUUUGUGAGGACAGCAAAGUGACGACGCGAUACGACCCGUCUUGAAACACGGACCAAGGAGUCUAGCACGACUGCGAGUUUGAGGGUGCAAGCCUGAGGGCGAAGUGAAAGCAAUGCAGAAUGAGUAUCAGUUUAGGG